rnacentral:rRNA from 1 species
UACUAAAGCAGACAAUGGAUGUCUUGGUUGUUUGAGCCGAUGAAGGACGUUACCGUCAGCGAAAAGCGUCGGGGAGGUGACAAGUAACCUGCGAUCCGGCGAUGUCCGAAUGGGGAAACCCCCUCUUUUGAGGAGCCGCCUUUGGCGGUGGGGAACCGUCUGAACUGAAACAUCUCAGUAAGGUGAGGAAAAGAAACCGAGUCUGACUCGGGAUUCCGUCAGUAGCGGUGAGCGAAAGCGGAGGAGCCUAAACCCAGAUUUUUCUGGGGGUUGCGGGGCAAGAAACGUGGGAUUGGCCAAGGAUAGAAGAAGGCCCUGGAAUGGGUCACCACAGAAAGUGAAAGUCUUGUAUUCGAAAUCCAAAGCCACCCUCUCUUGUUCCCAAGUACCACGGGACACGGUCGUCUUGUGGGAAUCUAGCUGGCCACAGGCUAAGGCUAAAUACUCAAACAGACCGAUAGUGAACCAGUACCGUGAGGGAAAGAUGAAAAGUCCCUAUGAAAGGGAGUGAAAUAGAACCUGAAAUUGUCUGCUAACAAACAGACAAAGUUCCCAACUUCGGUUAGGAAUGAUGUCGUGCCUAUUGAAGAAUGAACCGGUGAGUAUUCGAUGACCGCUAGUUUAACCUUGUUUAACAAGGGGAGGCGGAGCGAAAGCAAGUCUUAAAAGGCGUCCAGCGGCUAUCGGAUGACCCGAAACCGGGCGAGCUAACCAUGAGCAGGGUGAACCCCGAUUAACAUCGUGGGGGAGGCCCGUACCAGUGUCUGGUUCAAAAGGCUUGGAUGACUUGUGGUUAGGGGUAAUAUGCUAAACGAGCCCGGAGAUAGCUGGUUCUCCCCGAAAUAUAUAUAGGUAUAGCGGUGUUGUUAUCUUUUGGUGGGGUAGAGCACUGAAUGGUGGCAGGGCAGCAAUGUCUUGUCAUCAAUCAAACUCCGAAUACGCCAAAAGCACACACCAGUCAGUCUUGCCGGGCUAAGCUGGUGAGACUAAAGGGAAACAGCCCAGACUCUCAUCUAAGGUCUCUAAAUUUUACUUAAGUGUCAUAAGGAAGUGAAAUUCCUAAAACACCCAGGAGGUUGGCUCAGAAGCAGCCAUCCUUUAAAGAAAGCGUAACAGCUCACUGGACGAGGAAUUUUGCGCCGUAAAUUCAGGAGGCUAAAGUAAAUACCGAAGAUAGAGGCUCAACGCAAGUUGAGCGGUAGGGGAGCGUCGAUAUCGCGGUGAAGGUGAUGACGUAAGUUGCGCUGGAGCGUUAUCGAGUGAGAAUGCCGGUAUGAGUAGCGAAAUUCUGCUGAGAAUGCAGAACGCCGAAUGUCCAAGGUUUCCCACGUAAUGUUCGUCAGCGUGGGGUUAGUCGGCCCUAAGGCGAGCCCUGAGUAACAGGGGUAGUCGAUGGCGAGCAGGUUUAUAUUCCUGCACCUUGAUCAGAUCGUUAUCAGCCAGGGAGUGACGAGAUUUGAUAGGUUGAGUGUCUUAUUGAUUUGUCAUUUGGGCAACGAGUCAGUUUUGAUAGGCAAAUCCGUUGAAACGACGACAAGUUGAGCAAAAAGCCCUGAGGUUUCGAGGGGCGAUUUGACUGAUUUAAGUCUCCAAGAAAAGUUUCGUGGCGAGAGCUGAUCAGGACCGUACCGAGAACCGACACAGGUGGACUGGACGAGUAGUCCAAGGCGAGCGGGAGAAGGGAGUUUAAGGAACUCGGCAAAAAAGCUGGACGUAACUUAGGGAGAUGUCCUACCUCCUUUGGGAGGUCACAGCAAAAGAUUGUUUACCGACUGUUUAACUAAAACACAGGUCUCUGCAAAGGCGCAAGCCAAGGUAUAGGGGCUGAGGCCUGCCCAGUGCCGGAAGGUUAAGGGGAGUCACUUGUGACAAACUGAAGCCCCGGUAAACGGCAGCAGUAACUAUAACUGUUCUACGGUAGAAUUCGCGCUGCCGUAGUAAAAUGUGGCCAUAUGCUGGGAAAUCUGAGUAUCCAGUGCUAGUUGAAUUUGGGUUUUAUUCGGUUUAUGAUAAAACUUAAUGUCAACUAAAAAUGUAUCUGGUGCAGACAAUCAGCAGGAAAGACUGGUUAAAAGCGGUUGGAUCGUAGGUUUUGUUGAAGGUGAAGGAUGUUUUUCGAUUGGUUUUAUUAAACAACCCAAUCGGAUUAAUAGAAAGGGUUAUAAGCUUGUUUUCCAAGUUUGGCAUGAAUUUGCCGUAACUCAGGGAGAAAGCAGCUUGAAGGCCCUGAAAGAAAUAAGAGAUUUUUUUAAUGUUGGAAAGAUUUAUAUCAACAAUCGUUACGAUAACCAUAAAGAGAAUCUCUAUCGUUAUGUAGUGCGUAGGAGAAAGGAUUUACUAGAGGUGAUAAUCCCAUUUUUUAGUAAACAAACAAUGCGUACUAUAAAGAAAAAACAAUUUGAUCGAUUUGUAUUUAUUUUGAAAAUGGUUGAGAAAAAGAAACACCUUUCAAAAGAUGGAUUAGAAGAGAUUUUAAGAGUUGCUGAAAAAAUGAAUGUAAGAAAAGAUAGAGGUAAUUUAAUCAGAAUCCUCAGAGAACACACGCCACAGCCUUUUUAGGCAAGAUAUGUUCCCGACUGCAUGGUGACAUGCAGGAGUAUAUAAUACUCAUAGUUCUAUUUUUAAAAUAGAGUGAAGAUUUCAAGCGAAGUUCCUUGUCGGGUGAGUGAAACGAGCCCGAUUAAAAGUUGGCUUAUAACGGUGAAGCCCUGUUUAGUUUUCAGAGGGUAAUACCGUGGGAAGUCGUCACUGAGGUGAUUGACCCCGUAUCGACUGAUUCCUUUGAAGGAUGAGAUAGGUGUUCUUUCUUGAAUAUUCAAGAAAAAUUUAAAACUCUUAUCAUACGCCGACCAAUCUAAGUAGGUUGAAGAUAUAGUCAGUACUACUAGUAAUAGUGGAGUGAUAUGAAGUUCCGACCCGCAUGAAUGGUGUAACGAGUAAACAACUGUCUUAAACUCUCCCCCGGCGAAAUUGAAAUG